GCCCGGGUGGCGAAAUGGCAGACGCAAGGGACUUAAAAUCCCUUGGCCGAAAGGCCGUGUGGGUUCGACCCCCACCCCGGGCA
rnacentral:tRNA from 1 species